CAUGCAAGUCGAGGGGUAUGCUUCUUCGGAAGCAGAGACCGGCGCACGGGUGCGUAACGCGUAUGCAAUCUACCUUUCACAGAGGGAUAGCCCAGAGAAAUUUGGAUUAAUACCUCAUAGUAUAGCAGUUUCGCAUGAAACCACUAUUAAAGUCACAACGGUGAAAGAUGAGCAUGCGUCCCAUUAGCUAGUUGGUAAGGUAACGGCUUACCAAGGCAACGAUGGGUAGGGGUCCUGAGAGGGAGAUCCCCCACACUGGUACUGAGACACGGACCAGACUCCUACGGGAGGCAGCAGUGAGGAAUAUUGGACAAUGGGCGCAAGCCUGAUCCAGCCAUGCCGCGUGCAGGAUGACGGUCCUAUGGAUUGUAAACUGCUUUUAUACGAGAAGAAACCCUCCGACGUGUCGGAGCUUGACGGUAUCGUAAGAAUAAGGAUCGGCUAACUCCGUGCCAGCAGCCGCGGUAAUACGGAGGAUCCAAGCGUUAUCCGGAAUCAUUGGGUUUAAAGGGUCCGUAGGCGGUCAGGUAAGUCAGUGGUGAAAGCCCAUCGCUCAACGGUGGAACGGCCAUUGAUACUGUCUGACUUGAAUUAUUAGGAAGUAACUAGAAUAUGUAGUGUAGCGGUGAAAUGCUUAGAGAUUACAUGGAAUACCAAUUGCGAAGGCAGGUUACUACUAAUUGAUUGACGCUGAUGGACGA
rnacentral:rRNA from 1 species